rnacentral:rRNA from 1 species
GAUGAACGCUGGCGGCGUGCCUAAUACAUGCAAGUCGAGCGAAUGGAUUAAGAGCUUGCUCUUAUGAAGUUAGCGGCGGACGGGUGAGUAACACGUGGGUAACCUGCCCAUAAGACUGGGAUAACUCCGGGAAACCGGGGCUAAUACCGGAUAACAUUUUGAACCGCAUGGUUCGGAAUUGAAAGGCGGCUUCGGCUGUCACUUAUGGAUGGACCCGCGUCGCAUUAGCUAGUUGGUGAGGUAACGGCUCACCAAGGCAAAGAUGCGUAGCCGACCGGGGAGGGUGAUGGGCCACACUGGGACUGAGACACGGCCCAGACUCCUACGGGAGGCAGCAGUAGGGAAUCUUCCGCAAUGGACGAAAGUCUGACGGAGCAACGCCGCGUGAGUGAUGAAGGCUUUCGGGUCGUAAAACUCUGUUGUUAGGGAAGAACAAGUGCUAGUUGAAUAAGCUGGCACCUUGACGGUACCUAACCAGAAAGCCACGGCUAACUACGUGCCAGCCGCCGCAGUAA